UACGGGGGGAGCAAGCGUUGUUCGGAUUUACUGGGCGUAAAGGGCUCGUAGGCGGCCAACUAAGUCAGACGUGAAAUCCCUCAGCUUAACUGGGGAACUGCGUCUGAUACUGGAUGGCUUGGAUUCGGGAGAGGAAUGCGGAAUUCCAGGUGUAGCGGUGAAAUGCGUAGAUAUCUGGAGGAACACCGGUGGCGAAGGCGGCAUUCUGGACCGAUAUUGACGCUGAGGAGCGAAAGCUAGGGGAGCAAACGGG
rnacentral:rRNA from 1 species